GGUCAAGCUACUUAGAGUGCAUGGUGGAUGCCUUGGCAUCAGGAGGCGAUGAAGGACGCGGCAAGCUGCGAUAAGCGACGGGGAGAGGCAAACACUCCGUGAUCCGUCGAUGUCCGAAUGGGGGAACCCAACCGCUUCGGCGGUUAUUCCCCGCUGAAUACAUAGGCGGGGUAAAGCCAACCCGGGGAAUUGAAACAUCUCAGUACCCGGUGGAAAAGAAAGCGAAGCGAUUCCGUCAGUAGUGGCGAGCGAACGCGGAAGAGCCCAAACCGUUUUUGUGUCAAGCCCGAUGGCGUUGCAGAAACGGUGUUGCAGGAGCGAGGUUGAGGGCCCAUCGGGGUCCUCGGAGAGUUACAAACCAAACGGUUAGCCAAACACCUCUGGAAAGGGUGGCGGCACAGGGUGAUAGCCCCGUAGGCGAAAACCGAUUUGGCUCUCUGGCCUUGUUUCCUGAGUAGCAUGGGACACGUGGAAUCCCAUGUGAAACCGGGGGGACCACCCUCCAAGGCUAAAUACUCCCUGAUGACCGAUAGUGAACCAGUACCGUGAGGGAAAGGUGAAAAGAACCGGGGAACCGGAGUGAAAUAGGACCUGAAACCGUGCACUUACCAUCAGUCGGAGCCUGGCCGCAAGGCUGGGUGACGGCGUACCUUUUGCAUAAUGGCUCUGCGAGUUGCGUCUCGGAAGCAAGGCGAAGGCUAAAUCACGCCGAAGCCGAAGCGAAAGCGAGUCCGAACAGGGCGAAUGAGUUUCCGGGAGCAGACCCGAAACCCGUCGAUCUAUUCAUGGACAGGAUGAAGUUCGCUUAACAGCGGAUGGAGGUCCGGACCCACCAUGGUUGAAAACAUGGGGGAUGAGCUGUGAAUAGGAGUGAAAGGCUAACCAAGGCGGGUGAUAGCUGGUUCUCUCCGAAAUAGCUUUAGGGCUAGCCUCAAGACCAUGGCGCCGGGGUAGAGCACUGGAUGGAUGCGGGCCCUUACAAGGGUACCUAGUCCAACCAAACUCCGAAUACGGCGUUUGUAUCUUGGGAGUCAGACAGCGGGGGAUAAGCUUCGUUGUCGAAAGGGGAACAGCCCACAUCGUCGGCUAAGGUCCCCAAAUUCGUGCUAAGUGGUAAAGGCAGUGGGGCCGCACAGACAGCCAGGAGGUUGGCUUAGAAGCAGCCAUCCUUUAAAGAGUGCGUAACAGCUCACUGGUCAAGCGUGCCCUGCACCGAAGAUGUCCGGGGCUCAAGCACGAUACCGAGGCCACGGGUUCAGUCGACAGCUUGCUGUUGAAUGAGCGGUAGGAGAGCGUUGUUGCUGCAGCGAAGGUCAAGCGAAAGCGCGGCUGGAGCGGCAACAAGCGAGAAUGCAGAGAUAAGUAGCGAUAAGGCAGGUGAGAAUCCUGCCCGCCGAUAGCCUAAGGUUUCCUGUGCAAUGUAAGUCAGCGCAGGGUUAGCCGGCCCCUAACGCGAGGCCGAGAGGCGUAGCGGAUGGGUAUCCUGUUAAUAUUCAGGAGCCACGGCGAUGGAGGUUCGAGGUGACUGAGAAGAGUAGGUGAUGCGCAGGGAUGGUCGUCUGCGUCGACGCCUGCAGUCCCGUCGCAAGACGGGGCGAGGGGCGGAGGGACUGGGCGGGGCAACCCGUUUGGGAAGUCACCGAUCUCACGCUUGCAGGAAAUAACCUCAAAACCGUUGAAGUCGUCGUGACCGUACCACAAACCGACACAGGUAGGCAAGGCGAGAAGCCUGAGGCGCGCGAGUGAACCCUCGUUAAGGAACUCGGCAAAAUAGCCCCGUAACUUCGGGAGAAGGGGUGCCCGGGAGGGUGAUGGGACGGCGCAAGUCGCUCCCUGAGCUUUCCCAGGUCACAGCAAAGAGGCUCUAGCGACUGUUUAACAAAAACACAGGACUCUGCAAAGUCGUGAAGACGACGUAUAGGGUCUGACGCCUGCCCGGUGCCGGAAGGUUAAGGAAGGGGGUCAUUCUCCGCAAGGAGAAGAAGCUCUCGACCGAAGCCCCGGUAAACGGCGGCCGUAACUAUAACGGUCCUAAGGUAGCGAAAUUCCUUGUCGGGUAAGUUCCGACCUGCACGAAUGGCGUAACGACUGGAGCGGUGUCUCGACGAGGGACUCGGCGAAAUUGUAGCGGCGGUGAAGAUGCCACCCACCCGUGGAUGGACGGAAAGACCCCGUGAACCUUUACUAUACCUUGGCAUUGGAUUUUGGCGCUGCGUGUAGAGGAUAGGUGGGAGGCUUUGAACCGGCGGCGCUAGCUGUCGGGGAGCCACUCUUGGAAUACCACCCUCGUAGCGCUAGGGUUCUAACCGCGGUCCGUUAUCCGGAUCCGGAACAGUGUCAGGCGGGUAGUUUGGCUGGGGCGGCUGCCUCCUAAAAGGUAACGGAGGAGCCCAAAGGUGCCCUCAGAUGGAUUGGAAACCCAUCGCAGAGUGUAAAGGCAUAAGGGCGCUUGACUGUGAGACCAACAAGUCGAACAGGGACGAAAGUCGGGCUUAGUGAUCCGGUGGUUCUGUGUGGAAGGGCCAUCGCUCAUCGGACAAAAGGUACUCCGGGGAUAACAGGCUGAUCUCCCCCAAGAGCUCACAUCGACGGGGAGGUUUGGCACCUCGAUGUCGGCUCAUCGCAUCCUGGGGCUGAAGAAGGUCCCAAGGGUCUGGCUGUUCGCCAGUUAAAGCGGUACGCGAGCUGGGUUCAGAACGUCGUGAGACAGUAGAAGUGACCGUUGCUGUCUUUAAAUCUGGCUAUUUGCUGGAAAAUCUGUCCCCUCACAGGGGUGCAGAAUCUCGUGCUACGGAUAUUGCUUGGCUCAUCCUUAUGUGAUAGUCGGGCGUAUGCGUGACAAAGCAUGAGUGCAGACAAUCAGCAGGAAAGGCCGGAUGCUUAUGUCAAGCAUCUGGAAUCCUCAACGACUAUACGCCAGAUCCGCCAUAAGCGGAAAGAUAUAGUCUGAACUGCAUGGCGACAUGCAGAGUCCGGCGGAAACGCCGGGCCGCCUCGAUUUUAACGGAUUGAGGUCAGCGCCGGGUUCGGCGCGUCAAAGUAACAGAAUUGUCGGUCCCUAUCCGCCACGGGCGCAGGAGACUUGAGAGGAGUUGACCCUAGUACGAGAGGACCGGGUCGAACGUACCGCUCGUGUACCAGUUGUCACGCCAGUGGCACCGCUGGGUAGCGAUGUACGGUCGGGAUAACCGCUGAAAGCAUCUAAGUGGGAAGCCCCCCUCAAGACUAUGUCUCCCCCCUUCCCUUCGGGGAAGGGCUGAAGGCCCCUGGAAGAUCACCAGGUUGAUAGGCGACAGGUGCAAGACCCGUGAGGGUUUUAGCCGAGUCGUACUAAUCGGCCGUGCGGCUUGACCAA
rnacentral:rRNA from 1 species